rnacentral:rRNA from 1 species
ACAAGCAGUGGGAGCACCUUCGUGGUGUGACUGCGUACCUUUUGUAUAAUGGGUCAGCGACUUAUAUUCUGUAGCAAGGUUAACCGUAUAGGGGAGCCGAAGGGAAACCGAGUCUUAACUGGGCGUUAAGUUGCAGGGUAUAGACCCGAAACCCGGUGAUCUAGCCAUGGGCAGGUUGAAGGUUGGGUAACACUAACUGGAGGACCGAACCGACUAAUGUUGAAAAAUUAGCGGAUGACUUGUGGCUGGGGGUGAAAGGCCAAUCAAACCGGGAGAUAGCUGGUUCUCCCCGAAAGCUAUUUAGGUAGCGCCUCGUGAACUCAUCUUCGGGGGUAGAGCACUGUUUCGGCUAGGGGGCCAUCCCGGCUUACCAACCCGAUGCAAACUACGAAUACCGAAGAAUGUUAUCACGGGAGACACACGGCGGGUGCUAACGUCCGUCGUGAAGAGGGAAACAACCCAGACCGCCAGCUAAGGUCCCAAAGUCAUGGUUAAGUGGGAAACGAUGUGGGAAGGCACAGACAGCCAGGAUGUUGGCUUAGAAGCAGCCAUCAUUUAAAGAAAGCGUAAUAGCUCACUGGUCGAGUCGGCCUGCGCGGAAGAUGUAACGGGGCUAAACCAUGCACCGAAGCUGCGGCAGCGACGCUUAUGCGUUGUUGGGUAGGGGAGCG